AGGCACUGCCUUUGAACCUGGCUUGUCUUCUGUAGCUUCUCAGGCCAAGCAGCAGUGCUAGAUUGCAAGAGCUUGUCGUAACUGGAGUGCUUCAGCUCACCACUGAACCGCUCUUUUAAAACCAAGGCACAUCU
ensembl:snoRNA small nucleolar RNA, H/ACA box 50A